CCUACGGGGGGCAGCAGUGAGGAAUAUUGGUCAAUGGACGAGAGUCUGAACCAGCCAAGUAGCGUGAAGGAUGACUGCCCUAUGGGUUGUAAACUUCUUUUAUAUGGGAAUAAAACGUUCCACGUGUGGGAUUUUGUAUGUACCAUAUGAAUAAGGAUCGGCUAACUCCGUGCCAGCAGCCGCGGUAAUACGGAGGGUCCGAGCGUUAUCCGGAUUUAUUGGGUUUAAAGGGAGCGUAGGUGGAUUGUUAAGUCAGUUGUGAAAGUUUGCGGCUCAACCGUAAAAUUGCAGUUGAAACUGGCAGUCUUGAGUACAGUAGAGGUGAGCGGAAUUCGUGGUGUAGCGGUGAAAUGCUUAGAUAUCACGAAGAACUCCGAUUGCGAAGGCAGUUCACUGGACUGCAACUGACACUGAGGCUCGAAAGUGUGGGUAUCAAACAGGAUUAGAUACCCCGGUAGUC
rnacentral:rRNA from 1 species